UACAGAGGGUGCAAGCGUUAAUCGGAUUUACUGGGCGUAAAGCGCGCGUAGGUGGCCAAUUAAGUCAAAUGUGAAAUCCCCGAGCUUAACUUGGGAAUUGCAUUCGAUACUGGUUGGCUAGAGUAUGGGAGAGGAUGGUAGAAUUCCAGGUGUAGCGGUGAAAUGCGUAGAGAUCUGGAGGAAUACCGAUGGCGAAGGCAGCCAUCUGGCCUAAUACUGACACUGAGGUGCGAAAGCGUGGGGAGCAAACAGG
rnacentral:rRNA from 3 species